AGAAUCUGGAGUCAGCUGGAGUGUGCCAGCAGGCCCUGGAAUUUGAACCACCAUCUUCUGGAGUGACUCAAAUGCAGAGGAAGCCAGGCCUGCUGCUAACGUUUCUGAGAGGCGGCAAGAGUAUAAAUGGAGAUCCACAUAUGUAUAAAUAAAGAGUGUGAAUCAAGCUAACAAACUGUUUAAUAAAAUAUGAUCUACCCUCUUAGCUUGACAAAUCAACUUUUCAAACACCUGGAAGAACAAGUUUGCACUCAGGAUUCUCAGACUCCUCAGAGUUCUGCACUGGGAUGUGGAAGGGCUGUGCAAGCCAGCCCUUGGGUCCCUGAUCCCUGUCUCCUGGCCUGUGCCCGUCUCUUCUCAGCCUGGCUCCAACUCCCAUUGAGAGGAAGUUCUUGUACACAUAUGAUACUGCAGCCCUUAUGUCUAAUAUUUAUCCAUACCUUCUGCAAACAGCCACUGUGUGACCACCCUUGGGCUUCCCAGGGGUCUGCAAACUGACAAUACAGACAAAGGGAACCAAGGCAGAGGCUCACAGACUGUAGAAAUGGGCUUGGGGCCAUCUGGGCAGAGACUUGUGGAAUCCCAGGUAAGCAGGGCAUCUUAGUUUGCUUGUGCUGCUUAAAUACUAUGGAAGAGGUAAUUUAUAAAUAUUAGAAUUUAUUUCUCAGAGUUCUGGAGGCUGGGAAGUCCAAGGUCCAGGUCAAGGUGCUAGCAGAUUUGCUGUCUGGUGGGAGCUGCUCCCUCUGCUUCCAAGAUGGCACUUUUUUGCUGUGUCCUCUGGAGGGGAAGAAAGCUUAGACGGGCAAAAGGGGGCAAUUAUCUCUCUGAGACCUCUUUUGUAAAGGUAUUAAUCCAUUCCUGAGGGCUCUGCCCUCAUGACUUAAUCACUUUCCCAAAAUCUCAUCUCUUAAUACUACCUCAAUGAAGAUUAAGUUUCCAUAUGAAUUUUGAAGGGGUCACAUUCAAGCCACAGCACAGAGCAUGACCUAGCAGAGGAGACGCAAGCUCUGGGUGUGUAAGUCCCCUUUGCUCCAUGGACUUCGUGCUUCAUGGGAAGGGAUGUGGCUGGAGGGUACCCCUCUACAGCACAGGGCCCAGAGCACCCCUCUUGCCUUGGGUUUAGGGAUAGUAUAGGUGGUGGUGGUGAGGCUACUUUUGCUCAUUAAGAAAAGCCUCUUUGAGGGGUGGGACCGAGAAUGUCAUUUGAAUGGAAACUUGAAUCAUAAAGAUGAGUCAUACAAGCCAAGACUUGGGAGAAGGGCAUUCCUAAAUGAGAGAAGAGGAUAUGCCCAGCUCUCAUAAGCUCUGAAGAAGAGUCACCAACUGUGGUGGGUGGAGCCUAAUUAAGAGGAGAAGAAUGGUAAGAGACAAGGUGAGAUGGUCAGGCAGGAGCAGGGAGCCUGGAGGUCAGGUAAGGGGGCUUGACUUUGCCAUGGGUGCAAUGGGAAGCCUCUGGAGGGUUGAUAUGAUUUGAAUUCUGUUACAGCACGAUCACUCUGGGUGCUGUGUGAAAUGGAUGAAUAGCAAGGAGCUGCAGCCAAGAGCAAAUCAACAGAAGCACCACUCAAAAUGCCUCAGUACCCAUUACAUAAGGAUUCUUGUGAUUAAUUCUUCCCCAAAAUUUAGAGCCAAGAAAAAUCCAGCUCUCCUACUGAGAGUUGUAGAUUAGAGCUUCUGUUUCUAAUCUACAAACAAACAAAUGUGUGCAAUGUCUUUUCAUGACAAUUCCAACUUUAUCAUAAGGUUGUCUACUAAGAAACUAGUAGGCAGGUUUCUCUUGUUGUCUAGACCACCUGAAAGCUCAUAGCUGAGUUUGCACUUAUUUGCAGAGUAAACUGCUCAUUUAUCAAUCUGGCAUCCAAUCACAACUUUUUAGCUAACUGUAUGUUUUCAUAAACACUUUUCUCACACAGUAUAAAUUUUAAAUAAAUAACAAUAGCAAUUAAGUAGUAACAACUCGAGACUGGUAUCUGACUAGUGGUUCUUUCACCAGUGUGUACACUGGAAGUUUUGUUUUGUUUUUUGAUGUUUGUACAUUGUAAUUGCAGGACAGGUAGUAAGAAGAUUUCAAAUUCACAUUAGCUUUGCUACCACUAAAUUAUGGUGACUGUUCCUAAUUUGCAAACAAAUGUAUGCAAUCUCUUUUUAUGAUUAUCCCAACUUUAUCAUAAGGUUGUUAUAUUUUAAGACAUAUGAAAAGAUAUAAAGUAUAAUACAGUGAAUACAUAUAUAUCUAACUCCCAGUUUAAGAAAUAAAACAUUAGCAAAUACAGCUGAAGCUCCAUGAAUUCCCCUCCCAAAUCAUACUCCCUUCCCACCCGCAGAGGGAACCUCUAUUCUGAGCCUGGUGUUUAUCACCACCAAGAAUUAAAAAAAUACUUUUACUAUAUAUACACAAGUAUGUACCCCUUAGAAAUGAGUAGUAGUACUGUUUUGUAUGUCUUUACACUUUAAGUAAAUGGUAUAAGUUAUUUCUUGUUUUUGCUCAAAAUUGUUGAAAUUUAUGCCCUUUGAUUCUAUAGCUGACUUUCACUGUGAGUCAUUCCAUCAUUAUUUCUGUAUUCAUUCUCCUGCUGAAGUACAUUUCAGGUUGUUGCUAUUCCUCUGCUGAUCCCCCUCCCCCAACACACAUGCUUUUAUUAAUAAAUCUGCUGGAACAUUCUUGCAUACAUCUCCUUGGAUGUGUUGUAUCAUAAACCACAAAAUAUACUGAGCUUUUCAGACACAGGUUCUACAUUAAGUCAUUAUUUUCAGAUUGAUUUACCAUUGCUCAUAUUCAAUCCUUUAGAAUGGCCUCAAGAGGAUAUUUUAUAAUAUUGGAGCACAAUCCAGAGAGGGACAGAGUAAUUUUAAAAAUCAGAAUUACAGAAUUUUUUUAAAUCCCUGUAAGGUACCAAGGAGCUCACCUAAUCGAACACCUUCAUUUUAUGGACAAGAAAACCAAUGCUCAGAGGGGGAAGGAGUUGUCUAGUAGUGAGCACUGGGCUAUCGGGGGAAGCAGAUACCUUCAUUGAGCCUCCACUGUGAUGGACAUGUGUACAAACCAUAAAAAUAAGCCCCUUGCUUUCCCUUCUGUUCUCUAAGCCUCACUAAACAAUGUGCCAUGAAACAUAGCCCACUUGAUGAAGUCCUUCCUGAAUGAAUUACAAUUGUGCUUCCUUUAUCAAUUCAAGCCACACUUUUUUUCAUUUUUGAAGAGUCAAUUUCACCACAGCUUUACUGAAGUAGAAGCAAAGAUCAGAAGAUAAAAUAGAUUUCUUUACCAAGCAUAACUAGAAUAACUAGAUUUACAAAGGACAAUUUUUUAAAAAUCACAAAGGAGAAAAUAGAGCAUAAAGUUGGAAGAAUUUCUCAGAGCAAGGAUGAGUUCCCAUGACUGGGAAACUAUUCAGCUUCCUUAGUUAAGAGUGAAUUUUAAAAUCUGCAUUUCAUUUGGUGAGUUUCAACAAGGACUCUUUCCUUGACCAAACCUUAAUCAUGUUCCUCUGAGGCCUCUUCUUGACUAGGCCUGGUCCUGGCCGGCAGAGCCCAGCUCAGCAAGAAUCCCCCGACCCUUAAUACCUAACCAAAUUCUCUUAGUAAUUUCCUAUCCACUGACCCCUUCGCCAUGCCCAUUGGCCAUAAAUCCCCAGCUGUCCCUGCUGCAACCAGAGUCAAGAUUAAUCUCUCCCCUGCUGCAGUAGUCUUGAAUAAAGCCUUCCUUGCCUGUUUAAUUAUGUUUCAUGCUUUUUUUCUUCAACAGAUUCACCUCCCAAUACCACACUGUCACUGAGUCCUUCAUCCCAAACUGCCUGUAAUUAGGAUGGCCAUGUGUAGCCGUUUACUGAGACAGUCCCAGUGCAUGCCUGACACAGAAGCACAAUAACCAAUGGCUGCCCAAUCUACUCUCAAAAGUGCCUUGGUUUGCACAAUAAAUUGUCUUCACACACAUGAGGUGUGAAAUUUACUGGCUAGAGACACUCAUUAAGAAGAGGACUUUAAAAAUGGUGCUACAGCAAUAUACACAGAACAAAAGCAAAUUCAUGAAACUAGAACACUCCCUUUUUCAUAGUGCCUCCAGAGGCAUAGUUACAUUUGAUUUAUAUCAUAUUCUAUCCAAGUUAAGUGUUUCACCAUAAAUAAAAAUUGAUUUUCACGAAUUUCUCAUUCAAACAUAUUCAUACAAUGCCUUUAUUAUGCCUCUCCUUUGGCAACUACAAAUGGGUUUAUUAUAGAACACUGGCCGGAAAUGUGACAUGCAUUCCAGAAAGAGAGGAAGAUGGGGGAAGGAGACAGGUAGAAUGGAGAUAGAUAGAAAGAGACCAGGAAGGCCAAGGUAGUAUAGGCUUCAGGAAAAACAGCUGAGAUUGGGGAAUCGAUACCUCAUUUUACAGAAAUUGCAUUAAAUGACUGAAAUGAAUUUGCAAAACAAUAAUUGAGGCUGACACCUGCUCUUGACAGAAGGGAUGAAUCAAGACUGAGCUGUGCUUUAGCACCUGCUGUGGUGAGAAAGAACAAGAGGGGAACUGCUAAAGCUUUUUGCCUAGAAAUGCUGAGUUUUUUAAUUGCUUUCUGAAGCCAAAAGAGAAAAUUCCUCGUUAAGGUGGGGUUUGCUGAGUGAUUUUUGAGCAAUGGUUUGUUUGUUUGUCCUAGCUACUUCCACGUAUUUGAAAACAUUUGCAAGAGGCCCUUAUUCUGCCAAGCUUUCUUAGGUCUGAUGGAAUGAGAUGAGAAUAACAACUGCACACUCAGUGAGUAGGAUCUCAGGCAUGGGCUUUCAGACAUAAGAUGUGAUGCAGGGGAGAGGGGAACAAGUUAGAUCAUAUAAUCUCCAAAGUUUCCUCUAACUGGAAAGUCUAAGGUUCUGCCAUUCAGUGGACUCUCUACAUGGGUUUGUUAAUCCCAUUUUACAGAAGGAAAGAUUCAAACAAGGAGAGAGCAAGGACAAUGAAGGGGAGCGGGGGCCUCUUCAUCAGUGCUCAGUAUGUGACCCACAGGGUCAGACUGACAAUUUAGAAAAGAGGAGCCAAGGCCAUCACAAGGAUGCUCUGCUGAAGCCUCAAGGAAACGUGAUCCCACCAGCAGCAUUGCAUCACAUGUGAGCUGCUUAGACAUGCAGAAUCUCUCACCCCUCCUCAGACCUACUAAUCACAAUCUGCAUUUAAUGAGACCCCAAGUUCUUCAUAUACACAUUAGAGUUCGAGAAACACAGGCUCUGGUUUGCAUUUCUCUGAUGAUUAGUGAUGUUGAGCAGUGAUUACAUUUAUAGUAGCAAGACUCUAGAAAGUAGUUACAACUAUGAACUAGCUUUUUAAAAAUAUAAUUGCAACUUUAUUUUAGAUUUGGGGGCAUGCAUACAUGUGCAGGUUUGUUACAUGGGUAUACUGUAUAUUGUGUGAUGCUGAGGUUUGGGAUAUGAAUGGCCCGAUCACCCAGAUAGCAAGCAUAGUACUCAACAGUUUUUCAACACUUUCCCCUUCUCUUCCUCCCUCCUCUAGUGGUCUUCAUUGCCUAUAAGUGACAACAUGUGGUAUCUGGUUUCUGUUCCUACAAUAAUUUGCUUAGAAUAAUGGUCUCCAGCUGCAUCCAUGUUGCUGCAAAGGACAUGAUUACAUUCUUUUUUAUGGCUGCAGCAUAUUCCAUGGUGUAUAUUUACCACAUUUUCUUUAUCCAGUCCCCCACUGAUGAGCACCUAGGUUGAUUCCAUGUCUUUGCUAUUGUGAAUAGUGCUGCGAUGAACAUACAUGUGCAUGUGUCUUUUUGGUUGAACACUUUGUUUUCUUUUAGAUAUAUACUCAGUAAUGGGAUUGCUAGGUCAAAUGGUAUUCCUGUUUUAAAUUCUUUAAGAAAUCUCCAAGCUGCUUUCCACAGUGGCUGAACUAAUUUACAUUCCCACCAACAGUGUAUAAACCUUAGCUUUUCUCUGCAGCCUCACUAGCAUCUGUUGUUUUUUGAUUUUUUGAUAAUAGCCAUUCUGACUGAUGUGAGAUGGUAUCUCAUUGUGGUUUUGAUUUCCAUUUCUCUGAUAUUUAGUGAUGUUGAGCAUGUUUUCAUGUUUCUUGGCCACUUGUAUGUCUUCUUUUCAGAGGUGUCCAUGUCUUGCCCAUUUUUUAAAUGGGGUUAUUUGGUUUUUUGCUUAAUUAUUUAAGCUCCUUAAAGAUUCUGGAUACUAGACCUUUAUUACAUAGUUUGCAAAUAUUUUCUCCCAUUCUGUAGGUUGUCUGUUUACUCUGUUGAUAGUUUCUUUGGCUGUGCAGAAGCUUUUUCAUUUAAUUAGGUUCCACUUGUCAGUUUUUGCUUGUGUUGGAAUUGCUUUUGAGAACUUAUUCAUAUAUUAUUUCCCAAGGCUGAUGUCCAGAAUGGUGUUUCCUAGGUUUUCUUCUAGAAUUCUUACAGUUUGAGGUCUUACAUUUAAAUCUUUAAUCCAUCUUUAGUUAAUUUUUAUAUAUGGUAAAAGGUAGGGAUCCUGUUUUAUUCUUCUGCCUAUGGCUAGCCAGCUAUCCCAGCACCAUUUAUUGAAUAGGGAGUCCUUUCCCCAUUGCUUAUUUUUGGAAGACUUUGUCAAAAAUUAGACAGCUGUAGGUGUGAGGCUUAUUUCUGGGUUCUCUAUUCUGUUCCAUUGGUCUAUGUGUCUGUUUUUGUACCAGUAUCAUGCUGUUUUGGUUACUGUAGCCUUAUAGUACAGUUUGAAGCCGGGUAAUGUGAUGCCUCCAGCUUUGUUCUUUUUGCUUAGGAUUGCUUUGGCUAUUUGGGCUCUUUUUUAGUUCAAUGUGAAUUUUAUAAUAGUUUUUUCCUAAUUUUGUGAAAAAAUUCUGUUGGUCAUUUGAUAGCAAUAGCAUUGAAUCUGUAGAUUGCUUUGGGUAGUAUUGCCAUUUUAACAAUAUUGAUUCUCCCAAUUCAUGAAUAUGGAAUGUUUUUGUAUUUGUUUGUGUCAUCUAUGAUUUCUUAGCAGUGUUUUGUAGUUCUCUCUGUAGAGAUAUUUCACCUCCUCUGUUAGAUAUAUUCCCAGGUAUUUUAUUUUUUGUCUCGCUAUUGUAAAUGGGAUUGCCUUAUGAACUAGCAUUGACAUAGAAUUCUGACAUUCUUAUAGGAUCAGGCCAGCUUUCUAAGCUGGGAGGCAUUGUUUCCCAUACAGCAUCCUCUACUGAAAUACUAAGCUUUCUUUUUUACAAUAUGAGUUUAAAUCUGGUAAAGGUACUGUAGAAGGAGUUACCAUCAAUUUCAGGCUACAGCUGUCUUUCCUUCUCUCUCUCUCUCUCUCUCCCUCCUCUUCCCCAUCUCUGGAGGACAGAUUUGCAUUAAUAAUAGUUUUGAUUUUUAACACAUUGUUAGUAUUAAUUAGUCUACUGUUCUAUGUCUUAAGAGGAGAACACCAGCCUUGCAUGAGAUGGAGAUUAUGAAUCACAGUUUGUUUGGUAGUUUGCUGGAUCUCCUUGUCCACAUUUACUCCUGACUUCUAAUUCUGCAUUGGCUAGAAUUUUCUUUGCUUAACUAAGCAGGAAACCAUUUUCUCUUUAAUUUGGGUACUACUACAUUCUAAUUUUAUUUUACUGAUGAUCUGACUAGAAAGUGACAACCAAGCAUAAACCUGUGUUAAUAAUUUAAUUUUUCUUUUAUUUUCUUUGUAUCUGGGGAAGGUACUGCAGAAAUUAUUUGUUGUAAAACAGUUUUGAUAAGAUCUAACAUAUGGGCAAUCCUGGGGAAGAAAAAAAAGAAUUAAAUCACAGGUUUUAUGUUGAGCUAUAUGGAAUUGCCAUUUUUACAGGUUAAAAACAAGUCAAAUAUGGGCAAUUUCAUACAGUUCAGAUUAAUUAGAAUAUUUUAGUUUAGAAUUUCUUGACAAGAAAUAUUGAAAAAAUAGAAAGUGCUGUUUCUGGAGGCUGCAUUGUUUAUUUUACUUGGAGACUUGUUUUUAUGAAAUUAAAAAAAAAUGUUUUCAGAGGCUAGAUAACCAUCUUUGUAUUCUAAGCCACCAUAAAGAAUAGUGUAUUAGAAAGUAAGGUUCAGUUAUAGAUUCAGGAUGAAUGUAUGUGUCCUUGAAGGAGAUUUAUUUUUUGCAUGUGUGAAAGAAAGGUAGAUAUAAAUGGUGCUAGACUUUGACACCAAAAAUUAGGGCAAGUUUCUUUUCUACUUCCUUGUCACAGUCAGGUAAACUCUGAUAGGAGUAAGAAGAGAAGAUAUUUCCCCUACAGACCCACCACCAAGUUACCACCACUCUAGUUGGAAGGUGGGAGAGUAUUUGAAUAUUUCAAAGCAAAGUAGUCCCUUUUUGGUUAAUUAUUACAAUCAUACUAUAAGCAUGCUGAGUCUCCAUGGCACUCUGGGCAUAAUUCUAUGACAGCCUGAACUGCAUCACAGUGUAAUUGUGUGUUUCAAUGUCUGUUUUUCCCAUACCAGCCCAAUAUCACACUUUGAGUAGUAAAGUAGGAAUCAUGCUUAUUUGUAAUGAUGUGCCUAGUGAGUGCCAAGGGAGCUUAGCACACAGUAGGCAUUAAUAAGUAUUUUCUUUCAAAUGUAAAAGUUUGUUAAAUAAAUGACUUUUAAUAACAAGUCACAUUAGAAAAAAUUGAUUAUAUUAAAAAUCUUUGUGGAGUAUGGAAAUCAAUUUGGCAAUAAGUAAGAAUCCUGUGAACUAGUAAUUAUAAUAAAAGGUCACAUCUAUGAACUAGUAAUUACAAGAUAUUUAUCUUAGUCUGAAAUUUGAAAAUAGCAUUAGGUAAAAAAAAGUUUAUGUCAACAUUAUAUAUGAGUUAUAAAACUGAAAACAACCCAAAAACCCAAGAGUACAAUAUUAUAUUAUAGAGAAAUUAAUGAUGUUUUUGGAAUAUUUAAUCAUAUUGGAAAAUGCUCAAGAAAGGUGGGUCA
rnacentral:lncRNA from 1 species